CAGGGUCAGUCAUUGCAUUUCAAGAGCCAAGAUAGACUCGGCCGUGAUUCCCACAAAGAUAUAGAACCUUCUUCAAACAGACAAAGUGAUAGUGACUCCGACUGGGAGCCCCCGUUGCCAAGCUGCCCGCUCUACCUGUGCCCCCGUGGUGUUCAUAUGCCACAGUUCAUUACUGCAGGCAUGACUGUUCCUCAGGGCCAAAAGAGCACAGCAUGGAGGAGUCGUGUUCUGUGUCGCAUGAACUGCACCACUUGUUCAGUUUGCCUCUGCUUUACAUCAGAAAGAGACUGCUAUGGGACAUGGCACAGGCAGCAAAAUACUGUGACGAGGACUUCCAAAGGGUGUAUUGUUUUUUAUUUUUUUAAACAUUUUUUUUCCUAAUAUUUUUUUAAACAUUUGUGUGUGUUAGAAUUGCUUUUUUAUAUGUUGUAUAUAGUUAUAUGUCAUUUCACCAAUUUGGCCACUUGGGUACAUUUGGGCAACUUGUGUGGGACACUUGGGUGACUUCAUGCUAAAUGUCAUGUAGCUCCACCCAUUCCUGAAGUUAUCAGUCUGAAACUUUGCACACCUACAGUUGCCCUCUUGUGUUAUCCAUCACAAUUCUCCAGCAUCCUAUCUGACUGUGUGGCUAUUCUAAUACAUGUGAAAGAUGAUACUACAACAAUAAAAGACAGAAAAUGUAUGCUCUUUCUUGCUCUUUUCUUGCACCAGAUAUACUGUGUUAGACUCUCCUACCUUCUA